rnacentral:rRNA from 1 species
AUACAGAGGGUGCGAGCGUUAAUCGGAAUUACUGGGCGUAAAGCGCGCGUAGGUGGUUAUGUAAGUCGGAUGUGAAAGCCCCGGGCUCAACCUGGGAAUUGCAUUCGAAACUGCAUGGCUAGAGUCUGAUAGAGGGAAGUGGAAUUUCCGGUGUAGCGGUGAAAUGCGUAGAUAUCGGAAGGAACAUCAGUGGCGAAGGCGACUUCCUGGAUCAAGACUGACGCUAAGGUGCGAAAGCGUGGGGAGCAAACAGGAUUAGAUACCCCAGUAGUCC